AUUCACGGUGAAGUCGCGGUUACGACUUCCAUGACAAUUUCUUCACGCCUGACCACAGCCUUUUGACAUUUUCAAAUCUGAUUCGUUGCAUGCACGAGCCUUACCUCUUAGACUUUCGUUAAAGUUACGUAAAAACGCUAACAAAGUCACGUCUAUGAAUUCUUUCCGUGCUUGGAACAUUAAGUGUGAGUGAUCACUUUAAAAUCUAGAGUGCUCCUUGUUCCUCAAAAAGUGUACUUAGAAUGACAAUUAAUGAAACAAAAUUGAAUUAAUAACAGACCUUUAGCAAAUUUUAUAUUGAUUAAAUUAAAUAAUUUAGUAACUAUGUGCUUCUUGGAACACUUCAAAUGAUGAAGUACGCAAAUAUGUAGGACAGCGUAAAAGCAUUAGAUUGUUAUUAUCAUAAAUGAUAAUUAUUAUAUAUAAAUCAUAAUCACGUAACGCUGUUAUCAUUGCAUUGUAAUCAUUGUUUUAAAUUUAAAUUAUAUCAAGCAUUUUUAACAUACUGAAAAUAGUAAACAAAAUAAUACCAUUAAAUUUUUUGCUCAUCAUUUAAUAAGAAUUAUAUAUUAGUAUUAUAAGUAAUACUAUUAUUUUUGUUUAUCUUACAUAGACAUUUACUUGCUCUGACCAACUUGAGUGCAUAUUUCACACUCUUUCUCUUUUUCCUCCUUUCUAUUUCAUUUUCUUGUUUUCUCCCUACUUUGACGCACAGCUCUCAAGUACAGUAUUUGAUAAAAGCAAUUCUUACAAAAAAGAGAAGAUAUGUUAAUAAUUUUUUAAAGAACUUGUGACACAAUUAACGUGGAACACUAAGAGAAAAAAACUGAAAGAUUGUUUCUACUGUUAAAAUAAAAGCACCAUUAUAGUUAGAUUAUAAUUAAAGUUACACUAUUUUUAUUUCUUGAACAAUAGUUUAACACGAAUGUAAAUUAUUUACGUGAUGUGGAUGAAAGAUUUUAUUUUAUUACGUAAUCGAGUAAUUUUGAAACAUUUUUAGAACAAACAUCGUCAGUGGUUGCAAACUUCUGUUCGAUUAAAAGAACAAUGCGAUACUAGCAGAGUAGGUCAAAUGACAAAAAUAUUUUUACAGUUUUUUUUUAUUGAAACACUUUAUUAACACACCUCAAGUAUCUCGUUUGCUAAAACGUUCUACUGACUACAUUACAUAAUGCGAUUUACUAUAUCCUAAUUGUCAUUUAUUUUAUGAAUAUCGUCUUAUAACAAUAAAACGAUCUUAUUCUGCGAUAUGCUAAGCAAUAAAUCUAUUUAGUAAUUAAUAAGACGUUUUCCUUGAAAGUGGUGUAAGUCCAUGACCCUUUGUUUCGAGAUAUUGAAGCGUUUGCGUUGCCAUCGAUUGAAAAAUUCUGAUAAGAUUUAUUUGUUUAAACAUGUUUAAGUAGAUAUAAAUUCAUUAUACAAAUAGUUUUUUUUUGAGAAUUAACUAGAGCAAUAUCUUUCUUCAGGGUCAGGAAUGUACUUGUACUAUUUUCAAGAUUAUAAAUUGUACAAUUUGUUUUUCAUUAUUGAUGCCUCGACUGUUUGAACAGACUACAGGAAAUGGAAUUUCACCACUUUCAAAAUAAACGAUCCAUUUAAUCGGUACAUUUACAACGUAAAUUUAAGUAGAACAACAUUCUACGCGUGAAAGAAAAAUGACAAAAUUAAUAUUCAUUUUUGAUAAAAUUCAAAUUACUGUUAACAUGCUGAUGAUUAAAACAACUACUCACAAAAAAAUACAACUUACUAAAUAUAGUUUUAUUUAGAAUUAUUUGAGAAUAUUUAGAUAAUUUGUUAUUAGAUAUCUGUAAUAAAUUUGAAAUAUUUUUGUUAAGUGUUAUAACCAGAAAACAUUACUGUUACUUUAUAAGAGUUAAUACUUUUAAUUAAGAAAAUUUUGAUUACAAAUAACCAUUAUCAGUGACGGAAUUCUAAUUCUGGUUAUCAGUAACCAAUAUAAAUGAUCGAAAUUUUUUUGAUUAUCAGUAACCUUUAUCGACGACCCGAAUUUUAUUUUGAUUGCCGAUGCCAUUAUCGACGACAAAAAUAUUUUCUGCCUACAUUCGACUAUUGUCUCUUCUUAUUAACGUUACUGGCGAUUAAUACAUAUUCACUGACAAUAUAAAGAAUAAAUUACAAAACUUAUAAAUAUCUUAUUAAUCAACAAGAAGAAAUAGCAUGAAAAUACAUGAAACAAAGUGUAGGAUAAAAGAUAUUAUAAUACGAUAUUUUUAUUAACAUUUGUAUUAAUAUACUAAUUAUCAGUAAUGUUAAUAACAAUAGACACUGAUCGAAAGUGGCCAGAAAAAUUUGUUCACGUCGAUGUCAGUUAAUGGUAAGCAGAAUAAGAUUCAGCCCAUCGGUAGUGGUUAUUGGUACCCAAAAAAAUUGAUAACGGUUACCAGUAGUCAAAAAAAUUUGAAUCUUUGAUAACGGUUAUUCGUGUUGAAAAUAAUAAAAAAUUAACAUUUUUUAAUUAUUUCAUUUGUUCAGAACUUUCUCUGAUACUUAUUGAUAAUCGGCAGCUUCCAUUUAAGUAAAAAUGACGUUUUAGUCAUUGACUUUCUUCCAAAAAAUGUUUAAGAUAACUGUUAUUUUGAAUUUCUGGUUAUAACACGAACCUCGGAGAAUGCCAUUAUGCUAUUUUAUGCCACGAUCAAGAACAAUCGCUAUAUUCAAGAAAUAGAAUUUUAGCGCUUCGAUCAUCUAUGUGCCAACACUCAGAUACUGUCAUAAAACGCGGAGUUUCCAUACGACGACCAACCUAACGGCUCCCGCGUGAGAUGGCGCAUUCUCUGAAAUAUUUCACAGGGGUUGUCCACACGAUCACUUCAGCGUACAUCCUAUUCUACUUCCAAGAACACAAUACGCUGGAAGCGUAACGAAAGCGAGGACACGAAAUCUUCUCUUUCAGUAUAUAUAUACAGCUGGUCGACAACGAGUGGGAUGGAGUAAUGAAAGAGCAGCUAAAAAGGGAAAGAGAGACUGGAAUCUCGAGGUAGCUUGUUGUUCAAGAGCGCGGAGUACGACUCUUGUUCGAUGAUUUAAGAAUCAACUUGGCCCCUCCUCGACCCCGAUCUCCAUGGAAUCUCCGGUUUCUGACCUUACCUCCAACUUCAGAAAAGAAGAGGAAAUUCAAUCCGUGCAAGAUCUUCCUCAAGUUCUUUUGAUGCUAUGUAAUGUUCGUCUCAGCUUCGUGUUAACAUCUCGAGAUUGCAUCUAAUGCUAAACCUUUGUCAUAUGCUGGUUACGUUCGUGUUAACUGGUAAAUUAUUUACAAUUGAUGUACACGCUGUGUUUAACAAUAUUCCAAGGAUUAUCGUUUACCAUAUUAUUUCUCUAUAAAUUGUGGUCGCAUAACGUAUAAGUAAAAAUAAGACAAAAUUAUUAAUGUUAUAAAAUUUUAGGUCAACGAUUAAUGCUGUUGGUUUAAAACACUUAAUGAUUAGAUAGAAAGAAGGAAAUUUCCAUAAAACUACCACAUAUACUUUUGAUAAAAUUUUAUAAUUAUACCAUGAUAAUGACAUGUUUAUGUACGACGCCACUUUGGGAAAACCAGCAAAGAAACAUAUGCUUUGGUUAUAAUAAAAAAAGUAACAUUUAUUUAAGAAAAACGUAAUUCAAUAAAAUAAUAUAAAACAAA